rnacentral:rRNA from 1 species
ACGGGAGGCAGCAGUAGGGAAUCUUCCACAAUGGGCGCAAGCCUGAUGGAGCAACACCGCGUGAGUGAAGAAGGGUUUCGGCUCGUAAAACUCUGUUGUUGAAGAAGAACGUGCGUGAGAGUAACUGUUCAUGCAGUGACGGUAUUCAACCAGAAAGUCACGGCUAACUACGUGCCAGCAGCCGCGGUAAUACGUAGGUGGCAAGCGUUAUCCGGAUUUAUUGGGCGUAAAGCGAGCGCAGGCGGUUGCUUAGGUCUGAUGUGAAAGCCUUCGGCUUAACCGAAGAAGUGCAUCGGAAACCGGGCGACUUGAGUGCAGAAGAGGACAGUGGAACUCCAUGUGUAGCGGUGGAAUGCGUAGAUAUAUGGAAGAACACCAGUGGCGAAGGCGGCUGUCUGGUCUGCAACUGACGCUGAGGCUCGAAAGCAUGGGUAGCGAACAGGAUUAGAUACCCUGGUAGUCCAUGCCGUAAACGAUGAGUGCUAGGUGUUGGAGGGUUUCCGCCCUUCAGUGCCGCAGCUAACGCAUUAAGCACUCCGCCUGGGGAGUACGACCGCAAGGUUGAAACUCAAAGGAAUUGACGGGGGCCCGCACAAGCGGUGGAGCAUGUGGUUUAAUUCGAAGCUACGCGAAGAACCUUACCAGGUCUUGACAUCUUGCGCUAACCUAAGAGAUUAGGCGUUCCCUUCGGGGACGCAAUGACAGGUGGUGCAUGGUCGUCGUCAGCUCGUGUCGUGAGAUGUUGGGUUAAGUCCCGCAACGAGCGCAACCCUUGUUACUAGUUGCCAGCAUUCAGUUGGGCACUCUAGUGAGACUGCCGGUGACAAACCGGAGGAAGGUGGGGACGACGUCAGAUCAUCAUGCCCCUUAUGACCUGGGCUACACACGUGCUACAAUGGCCGGUACAACGAGCAGCUAACCCGCGAGGGUGUGCAAAUCUCUUAAAGCCGGUCUCAGUUCGGACUGCAGUCUGCAACUCGACUGCACGAAGUCGGAAUCGCUAGUAAUCGCGGAUCAGCAUGCCGCGGUGAAUACGUUCCCGGGCCUUGUACACACCGCCCGUCACACCAUGGAAGUUUGCAAUGCCCAAAGUCAGUGGCCUAACCAUUUUGGAGG